rnacentral:rRNA from 1 species
UACAGAGGUGGCAAGCGUUGUUCGGAAUUACUGGGCGUAAAGGGCGCGUAGGCGGCCCGCUAAGUCGAACGUGAAAUCCCCGAGCUCAACUCGGGAACUGCGUCCGAUACUGGCGGGCUUGAAUCCGGGAGAGGGAUGCGGAAUCCAGGUGUAGCGGUGAAAUGCGUAGAUAUCUGGAGGAACACCGGUGGCGAAGGCGGCAUCCUGGACCGGCAUUGACGCUGAGGCGCGAAAGCUAGGGGGAGCAAACAGG